UCAAAAUGCAUCCCUUUCUUACGCUCUCAUCCAAUGUCCCAGAUUUAACUUAUUCACGCGUUACCCGAUCAUGUUCGACAGAGUUAUUCACAUCAUUUAAUCUCAUUCAUGCGCUGAAAGUCUCAGACGUUUCAUUCGUUGCCGUUCAAUAGAAUUGAAGGCCAGCCUUGAAUUCACUCACUGACCAUUUUUUCUUCUUUGCAAUCAAUGGGAUUAAACCCACAUAAUAUAUCUUUCCAGACGAUCCAAUAUAAUCCCAGUUCAGUGGAAUUAUAAACCUCAUGAAGAAUAUGUUCAAUUGAUCCAUUAUAAUAUCAGGGAUUCUCCGUUUUGGCAGCACGCAAUCAAGUAAUUUCAGAUUUAACUUAUUCAUGCGUUACCCGAUCAUCUUCGACAGAGUUAUUCGCAUCAUUUAAUCUCAUUCAUGCGGUGAAAGUCUCAGACGUUUCAUUCGUUACCGUUCAAUGGAAUUGAAGGCCAGCCUUGAAUUCACUCACUGACCGUUUUUAUUCUUUGCAAUCAAUGGGAUUAAACCCACACAAUAUAUCUUUCCAGACGAUCCAAUAUAAUCCCAGUUCAGUGGAAUUAUAAACCUCAUGAAGAAUAUGUUCAAUUGAUCCAUUAUAAUAUCGGGGAUUCUCCUUUAUGGCAGCACGCAAUCAAGUAAUUUCAGGAAUAACAACCAGGUGGAUUAGCUUUGCAUUCUUGAUGAGUACCGAUGGGAACUUUGGGAAUUCAUUCAGUCAUGGAUCAUAUGACGGUACUUGGAAAUCAUCAAUUCUCUUGCCUUUUUUUCCCUCAUUUUGUUACUUGGCUACCCGCUGCUUAAUUAAGUGAUCGUAGAUGAAGCUUCUAAUGGAUGCAAGUAUGCCAUUAUUUAGUUUUUCAUUCUACAAAGAUAUUCAUCCCCUUGUGACGAGUGAGACGAGAUAUUUUUCUCUUUCUCCAAAGUUAAACAUGGUUGAACAUACCUCAUAACAAGAAUUCCUAAUGUUUUCUUCAGGUCUUAUAUAUUUGAUGAUAUGCACAAUAUUUGUUAAAGCCUUUUAAUCUAUAUCUGACCAUAUGGACCUCUGGCUGUUCUAGGUAAUGGUCGGUCCACACUUUACAGUCAUCCACAAGAAUCGUGGUUGCAUUUUAAGAUUAAUAAGGUAUCAAAAAUAGUAUUUGAAGUUCUUUUAGACCUUACUGUGUUUUGACUUUUUAAAUCUCUUUAAAAUUAAGCUUGAUUGUUGAUUCUAUAGUAACACUUAUAAACUUCACCAUUUUUAAUUUAGAAGAGGUGGGGAGAAAAUAAGACUUCAAAUGAAGGACUCUGCAAGUGCUGAGUUGUUCAGAAUUCAGAUUCCAUGCUGCUUUGUUAAUAUGGUUUUCUUGGUUUGUUUUUGGAAAGAGAUUUAUUUUUUUGUGAUGAUUCUUGAGGUGAACACUAAUUUUAUUGUAGUUUGCAUCCAGCCAUUCAAGUUUGAAGAAUGUUAUUUCAUGGCUCUAAUUUGGCUUCAAUUGAGAAGUUCAAUUUAUGUCGGUUUAAUGGCGUUUAACAGUCAACCAUUUACUUAGAUUGACGAAGUUCCAAAUCUUCAUUGUUCGCUUUAGCGUCUGUUAUUUGACUAAGCUCAUUGUCCAAUCCGGUUCAUGAAAACUAUGGGAUUUGAUAGAGAAGAUAACCAUCAACCUGUGUAUAUUACAAUUGGGCUGCAAGUUUCAACACGGUGUGUUUCCUCUCUCCUUCAGGUUUAUGAUGUUUAUAAGGAUGAGUUUUUUGUCGCUGAAAUUUUUUCUUUUUAUGAAAUUUAUCUAACACAAUGACUUCUUUCAUACACUUUCUUAAAUUAGUUUUACUUUUCUUUUCUACAAAUACCUUAUAGUCUCUCUUCUUCAUAUUUAGUUGGUAAGAUGCUACCAAGGCACUUGAAUUGAUCAGUUCAACUAUCUAACUAUGACUAGCUAUCUUCAAUGUGCAGGUUUUCAUGUACUAUGAGUUUGUGCCAUUUGGUGCACUAUUAUUAUAUCCAUAUUUCUACUUGGUUUACUGUUUGAUUGCUUUAACUAGGGGGUUAGUAGCUAAUAAUGCAUUAACUGGCCGAUUGGUAUCCAUGUCAGUGCUAAAGCAUCAUUAUUAAAAUGAUACUUCUUUAAAUGUUAAACAUGAAUUGAAACUACUGACAGAAAUUUGUUCUACUGAGACCAUGGAUACCGAGGCUUAACUAUGCGCCUACUUCUUUGUUUUCUGUUUUGUAUUAAAGAAAUAAGCAUUUUUUAUUUCUUUAGAUGAGCCAUAAGAAAUCUACCAUAUGUUUCAUAAAUCUUCCCAAGUCGGCGAAUUUAAUUACGUUCUGCUGAUGUUUUGAAAGAACUUUUUGAUACAGGUUCACUUGCAGAUCCUCGCUUUUAAGUUGGUGAACAAAUGACUUUUGCUUCAAAGGUACGAAGUUCUGAACUGUCUUACUUGCUUUUAAGUUCUUUGUCGUGUAUUUCUUAGCUUAUGCUUCAUGGGUUUCAGAUAUUAGACAUAAGAUGUAACAUAUCAAUUGUGAUUCAUAAGAUUUGUCCAGAUCAGUUGUUUCUUGACCAAGUUCGAAAGUUGCAGCCCGUUUAGAUGGAUAGUGUGUCAUGGAAAACUUUUGAGACUCAAACUACAUAGACCUUAUCACAGGAGUAAAGACAAUUCAAUUGCUAAACUUUAUCUUGCUUUAAGAUAGUGUUCAACUGCCUAAUGAUCAAUAAUCAGAGUUCUUUCCUGGACUCUUUCGAAAAAGUUGAGGUGAUUAAUAGGGGCAUAAUUGCAAUUGGAGGAGAACAAUAUUUAUAACUGUUUUGCAUAACAAAUCUUUCUUUUUGCGUUUCGUUUUAUGAUGCCUUGCUGCGGUGGACAUAUAUUUUAACUUUUCUAGAAGCUAUUCACACCUUUAUAAAAACGGAAUUCUGUAGAAGGGGAGCUGCCGGUAUCUAUAAAGAUCACCACAGUAGCAUCAAACUUUGUACGUAACAACUCUCAGCUGAAACAUCGAUACCUGGGUCGGUCAUCAGUAUAUAUACAUAGAAGUUAAAUUGCCAUCACCACUUCGAAGAGCAAUCAAUUACCAUGCAUGUCCCUAACAAGAAAUGGAUUUGGAUAACUGAAUGAGUAUAUUCUUAUAAAACCUAUUAUGUGAGUGUAAAAGUUCUUUUCAAGCAUGAUUGUAGCUUCUAUACAAAAUGGUUUUGGAAACAAAAUUUGGAUGACAGUUUUUGGAUACUAAAGUUACACCAAAUUCAUCAAUGCGGUUCAUUCCAUCAUGCGAAAACAUUUGUAAUAACUGAACUGUCAUUUGUAACCCGAAUGUUGAUUCCCUAAACCAAUUUAUUGAUCAGAAUUUU